UACAUAGUGAGAUCCUGUCUCAAAAAAUAAACAAACAAAAAUUAUGGUAAAAGAUUGAUUGUUGUGGAUUCCCCUUGGGACCCCUCUCCCGCACACAGUGUCCCUCCUCCUCGCCUCUUUCUGAGGCAGUUCUGGAGCCCUCUUUCCUGAGUGUCUUUGGUUGAGCUGUCAUGGCUGCCUUAAUGUCCUGAACUGAUUCAAAACAUUUUGACUUGGGGGAAGAGCCAGAUUCAGGGAAUAGGAUGGAAGAGGACACAGUGUGAUUUACGCGUGUGCAAGUGUGUGUGUCUGUGUGUGCACGCCUGCCUUUCUCUUGGAUGGUAGCAGCAUUAAUGUGUCCCUGAUCACAUUAACGAAAGAGGACUUGCAGAACUGCUUCAGAAAAUGGCAAGACCGAUGGGCUGUGUAUUUGAAGUGAGGGGAAGAAGUGCUUGAGGGGGAUUCGUGGCAAUGUGUCUUUUACUGUAAUAAAUUUUAAAAAUGUAGUCAUUCAUAUAUUUCAGGUACCAUAUGCGUGGUGCUGGAGAUGGAACCCACGCACUGGCAGGUGCAGUACCGCUGAGGUACAUCCUCUUCCCGCGAGGACAUUUUAGAUGAGCAUGUAGAGCAGUGGUCUUCAGAGUAAGGCACCGGGACCAGCAGCAUCGGUAUUGCUUGAACUGGGCGGAUGGACACUUGGGACUUGAGAACCACAGCGGAGGAGCUCAGCCUUCAUUAGGUAUCUGUUACCUGCUCUGGCUCUGGGCACCGGCUGCCCCUUCUUGGGAGGUCUUCCAGUGGGAGGAAACUUUGUCAGCCUCAUUGCUUUUCUAAAGAACCUGCCUGUUCUUUGUCCUGGAGUAGUGAGUUGGCGGAACCUCUGUUGGCUGAGUCCUCCCGGGAUUAAGUCCUGCCACCUUUAGACUGUGCGGAACAGGCGGCCCGGGCACGCACUGUGCCCUGGAGGGCUGCCGGGCCCACCGUGCCUUGUCUCCCUCUCCUCAUGCUUCAGUGGAAGGAGAAGACCUCUCCUGUUGGAAUAUGGUCCGGUUUUUAAGCGGGCCAGGACUGGAUUCAUCAUCACAGCAGGCCCUGCAAGGGUGCAGCCUUUCUGUGGACAAAGGGGUGAGCUCCUCGGAGAGGAGCUGCUGUGAUUUCUGUUGGAGGGAGCUAUGUAGACUCAGAUGGCGCCCACUGACCCAGUGCUGCUUGCCCUCUGUGGGGCCACUCUGGCUGACGAAGCCUGGGCGAUGCCAGCAGCCUCACUGUAUGUGAUGCUCGGAGCUCUUAGAGGGAGGCACCAUCAUUAACUUAUUUCCGGAAGGAGGGACCGGCCCCGAAGGCCCUCAUCUCCCGCGUCCUCCUCCUUAAUCUGCAGCUCCUGUGUUCGUGGAGCUCCUUCCUCCAUCUCAGCUGAAUGCUCUGGCUUCAGCAGUUGCCCCUCCUAUCCGGGAACUCGCCUUCCUUGGCUCACUGGAGAAGGGAGAUUGGGAAGAAUCCAAGGCCCCGCUGAGCUACAGAAGUGACUCAGCAGUUUCCUCACUGUCUUUCCAAGGACUCAGAAUGGCUUCAUCAGGCAAUCACCCUGGUGUGUUGUACACAGUAGAAUUUUAAUUCAAUCAACUCAACAACUUCAUACUGAAGAGAUUUUCAUCCCCUCAGACAGAGGAAGAAACCAAAGGUUGGAAGAGGUGACGGCGCCACACCUCACUGAGUUCGGCUCAGAUCCGACUGACGCAGGCCCAUUCACGCGUUCACUUUGCCCCACUCGGUGUUCAGUUUAGACGGAUGUGGAGACAAACCCCAGGGUCUACGCCGUCCCGUCAACAUCCGGGCCCCGCACGCCCUUGGAGAGAUGCGAGAAGAGGUGAAGCCUCUCCUCAGGGCUGUUCUGUGGAAACAUCUGGGUCCGAGUGAGGCCUAUGCCCAGUUAAUGGGAUCUAGAUCCUCAUUCUCCCUCUGUUUCUUUCUCCUGCACCCCUUAGGAUGACUCCACAUCCAGAAAUCCACAGCCUCUCUCGGGGCUCUGGAAGCUGUCCAACCGCCCUCCGCCCUCCGCCCUCCGCCCUCCGGAGGUCAGGCCAGAUGGACACUUCCGGGGCCCCCUAGCUGUGUGACAGCUUGCAUUAAGCGGUAGAGGGGCAGGCUGCACUCUAACUUCCUUUCUAACUCUUUCUCCGGGCACUGCCACCUCCUCCUUUUGGCCUGCUUUCUAAUGUCCCUAAGGCCUUUUCAAGUAGGGGGAGUGGAAGAACAGAGUGUGUGUGACCAAUCAAGAAAUGCCAUCCUCUAAUCAGGUCACCCAGGCUAACCCAGCUGGCUCUGAGCCUUUUGCCUGGGGACCUUUCUGUUUUGUAACAGAACAGCUAACCUCAAGCGAGGCCACUCUGUCCGAAUCUUUUGAUCUACAAUACACAGUAGUGAUCUCCCAGGAGCGUUCUGUCUUGCCGACAGGUCUCCAGAAGGGGGCACUGCAGUAAGAGUUCUAGGAAGAAGCCGGCGCUUUACCCAGGGGAUCAGCAAGGAGCCUCUCCCCUGCUUGCCUGCUUGGGUAACCAAGGACGAGUGCUUGCUGGGUGAUUUUCCUUGGGUAUAGAAGUAUCAGAAUUUUCUAGAUAUGGGGAGAAAAGAGCCUCAUAUAAUAUAUAGGAGAAUGCAGCAGUUAUUAUAGAAGACUCUUAUACAAAAAUGGUUUUACAUUUUUAUUUACCAGCCACAGUUAGAAAAUGACAACAAAAUUAAAGCUAAUAUAUACAGGAGAAAAGCUGUAAGGCACCAGAAACAAAUCUGAUUAAAUAUAUAUGAAAACUAACCAAAGAUUGAUAAGAAAAAGACAAACAACAAAUACAGUUAGGCAAAAGAUAUGAACAGGCAACAACUCAUAGACAGAAAUCUAAAAGACCAACAAAUACACAGAAUGUCAUACACUUUUACUAGCGGCCAGAGGAAUGUAAAUUAAAGCAAAGUGAGGGGCCCAGGAUUUAGCUCAGUGGCACUGAGCCUCCCUCACAAGUGCAAGGUCCUGAGUUCGAUCCCCGGUACUAGCACAAACAAACAACAAAACAAAUAAAUAAAGCCAAGUGAGAUACCAUUACAGAGCUGUAAGACUAGUAAAACCAAAAACAUUUGCCAAAGGAUCGGGGAAGAUCUUGCAGGUUGCGAACACAUGCGCUGUUGGUAAAAGUAUAAAUCAAUGGGGGUGUUUUGGGUAAUGUAGUAAUUACUUAGCGAAGCUACUUACCCAUCACUCCACUGAACAGAUUCUCUUAUGUGGGCCUAAGGGUAUGAUGAAGACUGUAUGAUGCAAUUGUUUGAAAGAAGAAAAGAAUCCCAAACAACCUCAGUGUCUACCAAGAGAAAAAUUGGAUGCAUUGUGAAACAGACAUGCAACAGAAUAUCAUGCAGCUGUGAAAAUGAACAAAGCAGAGCAAAAAUUUCCAAGUAGGAAGUGACCAGCUGACAUUUGGCUAUGGCAAAAUAUAUUUAUAUCUAUCUAUCUAUAUCUAUCUAUA